CCUACGGGUGGCAGCAGUGGGGCAUAUUGCACAAUGGGGGAAACCCUGAUGCAGCGACGCCGCGUGAGUGAAGCAGUAAUUCGUUAUGUAAAGCUCUAUCAGCAGGGAAGAAAAUGACGGUACCUGAGUAAGAAGCACCGGCUAAAUACGUGCCAGCAGCCUCGGUAAUAAGUAUGGUGCAAGCGUUAUCCGGAUUUACUGGGUGUAAAGGGAGCGCAGGCGGGACGGCAAGCCUGAUGUGAAAGCCCGCGGCCCAGCCGCGGGACUGCAUUGGGAACUACCGGGCUGGAGUGCCGGCGAGGUAGGCGGAAUUCCUGGUGUAGCGGUGAAAUGCGUAGAUAUUAGGAGGAACACCAGUGGCGAAGGCGUCCUACUGGACGGUGACUGACGCUGAGGCUCGAAAGCGUGGGGAGCAAACAGGAUUAGAUACCCUAGUAGUC
rnacentral:rRNA from 1 species